ACCGCGUAGCUCAGUUGGAAGAGCAUUGGGCUAGUAUUCCAAAGGUCGUAGGUUCGAAGCUCGCCCGGUG